rnacentral:rRNA from 1 species
AAUAGAUACCCUGGUAGUCCACGCCGUAAACGAUGAUAACUAGCUGUCCGGGCACAUGGUGUUUGGGUGGCGCAGCUAACGCAUUAAGUUAUCCGCCUGGGGAGUACGGUCGCAAGAUUAAAACUCAAAGGAAUUGACGGGGGCCUGCACAAGCGGUGGAGCAUGUGGUUUAAUUCGAAGCAACGCGCAGAACCUUACCAGCUUUUGACAUCCCGGUCGCGGUUUCCAGAGAUGGAUUCCUUCAGUUCGGCUGGACCGGUGACAGGUGCUGCAUGGCUGUCAUCAGCUCGUGUCGUGAGAUGUUGGGUUAAGUCCCGCAACGAGCGCAACCCUCGUCCUUAGUUGCCAUCAUUAAGUUGGGAACUCUAAGGAAACCGCGGUGAUAAGCCGGAGGAAGUGGGAUGACGUCAAGUCCUCAUGGCCCUUACAAGCUGGGCUACACACGUGCUACAAUGGCGGUGACAGUGGGCAGCUAUCCCGCAAGGGUGAGCUAAUCUCCAAAAGCCGUCUCAGUUCGGAUUGUU